rnacentral:lncRNA from 1 species
CUGGAGAGCUGGCCCCACCGCUCACUGACAGCUCUCUCCGGGGCAGGACCUUGCCUAUCACUCAGUGUUAUCUACGCAGUCAAUGAUAUCCUUGUCCACAGUCUGACGACAUCUCCUGCUACAAGUGACAAAACGCGGAUGGUGAUGGUGUGUCUGCCUGUCAUAGUGUCUUUACUCUGGGUCUCUGCUUUUGGUUUGCUGACACUUCACUUUGAUAUAUUGAGGUGGGCAGGCAACGACAGGACAGUCGCAUCCUCUGCUGUAACAGCCAGGACAAGUGCUUCAGACAUACAGCACUCCAAGGUUCCAUCCACUGAGAGAUCACUGCUGCUGUUCAGGGGCUGAGCAAAGGCUUGUCAUUCAGAAACUGGCCGCACCUUGUCACCUGUCAGCACAUCCUUGGGAUCAGACUGACGCUUCAAGAAAUGCGUUUAGCAUCAAAGGGAGUUUGCGGCUCAUAGAGACAAGAGUUCAAACCUCG